rnacentral:lncRNA from 1 species
AUUAUAUGUAAUGUUUUAUGUGCUUUAUGAUCCAACUCUUGUGGGGUGAGAGAUUUUAGGACACUGACCGACCCGAAGUAAAGCCAUACUUUUCUCAUAUUUCGAUGUCUUAUGCUACUACGAAAUGAGCUCUUCCCUAGCGUUCUAGACUAUUGGAAAUUAAUUUUUAUUUCCGAUGCCAUUGUCAUUACUUUAGCAAGUUUUGUCACUUAAAUUUGUAGAGUUUGAAAAAGGACUUUGUCAAAUGUCACGUUCACUCACAUAUGUCGUCGUUGUUGGCAUGCAUAGAGCCAUCUGGUGCAGAGUCAAGAUAUGCAAAACUAAUUACCCCAACUUGGUUGCUUAAAUGAACUUGACUUUCUCCAGGCGCCGGUCCCUUGCUUUAGCUUGGGGCCGGCAGCAGCCUCUCCAGCCUAUUGUGUUUAGCUCAUACAUUUGUAAGUAAUUAUAAAUUAUGUAUUGACAACAAUUGAAGACUAUCGACAACAGGUUCAAGUUUUGUGUUUGGCUCAUACAUUUGAGUUAUGAGUUAUGAGUUAUGUGUUUGGCUCAUACAUUUG